CGGAUGAAUUAGCUAACCAU
rnacentral:snRNA from 1 species